rnacentral:rRNA from 1 species
AACGGUGAUUAAUACCUCAUAAAGCAUAGAUAACACAUGUUAAAGAUGUCAAAGAGAAUUCGGUAUGGGAUGGGCCUGCGUCUGAUUAGUUAGUUGGUGAGGUAACGGCUCACCAAGGCGACGAUCAGUAGCCGACCUGAGAGGGUAGGCGGCCACAUUGGAACUGAGACACGGUCCAGACUCCUACGGGAGGCAGCAGUGGGGAAUAUUGCACAAUGGGCGAAAGCCUGAUGCAGCAACGCCGUGUGAAUGAAGAAGGCCUUAGGGUCGUAAAAUUCUGUCCUAAGGGAAGAAAAAGAUGACGUACCUUAGGAGGAGCCC